CCCUUCGACGUUCUGGGCCGCACGCGCGCUACACUGACCAGUGCAACAAGCAUCCGUCCUUGGCCGACAGGCCCGGGCAAUCUUUGAACGCUGGUCGUGAUGGGGAUAGACUUUUGCAAUUUUUGGUCUUCAACGAGGAAUUCCUAGUAAACGCAAGUCAUCAACUUGCAUUGAUUACGUCCCUGCCCUUUGUACACACCGCCCGUCGCACCUACCGAUUGAAUGGUCCGGUGAAGCCUCCGGAUUGGCGCGCACCUCGGUGCCGCCGAGAAGUUGGCUAAACCUUACCAUUUAGAGGAAGGUGAAGUCGUAACA
rnacentral:rRNA from 1 species